rnacentral:miRNA from 1 species
CCUCCGUUUCAUAAAGGUUGG